rnacentral:rRNA from 1 species
GACGUAGGGUGCGAGCGUUGUCCGGAUUUAUUGGGCGUAAAGCGUCCGCAGGUGGCACUUCAAGUCUGUCGUCAAAGACUGGGGCUUAACCCCGGAAAGGCGGUGGAAACUGAAGCGCUAGAGUGCGGUAGGGGUAGAGGGAAUUCCCGGUGUAGCGGUGAAAUGCGUAGAGAUCGGGAAGAACAUCGGUGGCGAAAGCGCUCUACUGGACCGCAACUGACACUCAGGGACGAAAGCUAGGGGAGCGAAUGGG